rnacentral:rRNA from 1 species
CCUACGGGGGGCAGCAGUGAGGAAUAUUGGUCAAUGGACGAGAGUCUGAACCAGCCAAGUAGCGUGAAGGAUGACUGCCCUAUGGGUUGUAAACUUCUUUUAUAUGGGAAUAAAAUGUUCCACGUGUGGGCUUUUGUAUGUCCCAUAUGAAUAAGGAUCGGCUAACUCCGUGCCAGCAGCCGCGGUAAUACGGAGGAUCCGAGCGUUAUCCGGAUUUAUUGGGUUUAAAGGGAGCGUAGGUGGAUUGUUAAGUCAGUUGUGAAAGUUUGCGGCUCAACCGUAAAAUUGCAGUUGAAACUGGCAGUCUUGAGUACAGGAGAGGUGGGCGGAAUUCGUGGUGUAGCGGUGAAAUGCGUAGAUAUCACGAAGAACUCCGAUGGCGAAGGCAGCUCACUGGACUGCAACUGACACUGAGGCUCGAAAGUGUGGGUAUCAAACAGGAUUAGAUACCCGAGUAGUC